rfam:Enterococcus gilvus ATCC BAA-350 genomic scaffold acEQl-supercont1.3, whole genome shotgun sequence.
GAACGCCGUGUGAGGGGAAACUCUCAUGCACGGUGUGAAGCGGGGGAAAAGAUGGAGAUAACCUCAAAGUCUUACCUAUCGCUAU